rnacentral:rRNA from 1 species
GAACAGAUAAGGAGCUUGCUCCUUUGACGUUAGCGGCGGAUGGGAGAGUAACACGUGGAUAACCUACCUAUAAGACUGGGAUWWCUUCGGGAAACCGGAGCUAAUACCGGAUAACAUAUUGAACCGCAUGGUUCAAUAGUGAAAGGCGGCUUUGCUGUCACUUAUAGAUGGAUCCGCGCCGUAUUAGCUAGUUGGUAAGGUAACGGCUUACCAAGGCAACGAUACGUAGCCGACCUGAGAGGGUGAUCGGCCACACUGGAACUGAGACACGGUCCAGACUCCUACGGGAGGCAGCAGUAGGGAAUCUUCCGCAAUGGGCGAAAGCCUGACGGAGCAACGCCGCGUGAGUGAUGAAGGUCUUCGGAUCGUAAAACUCUGUUAUCAGGGAAGAACAAAUGUGUAAGUAACUGUGCACAUCUUGACGGUACCUGAUCAGAAAGCCACGGCUAACUACGUGCCAGCAGCCGCGGUAAUACGUAGGUGGCAAGCGUUAUCCGGAAUUAUUGGGCGUAAAGCGCGCGUAGGCGGUUUUUUAAGUCUGAUGUGAAAGCCCACGGCUCAACCGUGGAGGGUCAUUGGAAACUGGAAAACUUGAGUGCAGAAGAGGAAAGUGGAAUUCCAUGUGUAGCGGUGAAAUGCGCAGAGAUAUGGAGGAACACCAGUGGCGAAGGCGACUUUCUGGUCUGUAACUGACGCUGAUGUGCGAAAGCGUGGGGAUCAAACAGGAUUAGAUACCCUGGUAGUCCACGCCGUAAACGAUGAGUGCUAAGUGUUAGGGGGUUUCCGCCCCUUAGUGCUGCAGCUAACGCAUUAAGCACUCC